CUCAGUGACAACAGUUGCUCAGUGCUCACUGCCCAGUAUCUGCCUCCUUACCAUGCCACUAUAAUAGUUGGGAACCCAUCAACAAUUAAGCAUCUUCUAUACAAAUAUGUUGCAGACCAUCUGUAUAGUUCUCAGUUCCAGAAGAUUCCAGUAACUCACUAAGUUUUAAUAUUAUUUUUUUUUUCUUCUUAAUCUGAUGGGCUGCCCUGAGAUAAGUGAUUAAAGCAAAAAGCCUGACAUAAUUUCUUCGGAGCUAAAACUGCACAGAAGUUGCCAAUUCCUGUAUUUGUUUUCUUACAAGAAACUUGAAGCAGGCAUUUUCCACUGUUAACAAUUUUUAGGUUCUAUCAAGUCAUAUUUUUUUUUCUUUUUGGUCAGAAAAAUAUUUUGGUGAAAAUUAUUGCUAACAUAAUCUUAGAAAAUAUUUGAACAGGCAAUUCUGAAGUUUUUCCAGAGACUUGUUGGUGUUAUAGAGACCAGUAGAGAGCUGCAUGGUCAACUCAUGUCACUUCUGUCACCCUGCUGAAUGCCACAUCACACUGCCAAUGCUCAGGAGCACUGACUGCUGGCUUCUGCAAGAAUGGAAGGAAAGGAAGACAUGGACACAUUGGCUACAUCUAAACUACUAAAAAAGUUAGUCAGAGAAUUUUCCUGCAGACCAACUGGCAUGAAAGAACUUGAAUCCACGCAGCUAAACUCUCUUGCCCUCCAAAUCACGGUGGCCACAUCCAAAAUAUCUAUUGGUGAUGGUGCCUGAACUGGGCUUUGUUUGAACCCAAGCUGUGCUUUGGCAUUGUCUGGAAGAGCAUGAACAGGCUUGCACCAAAACCAUGCCAAGGACCAGUUUAGCGUACGGAUGGUUUCGGGACCAUGCCUUGCUGGUCUUGUUUAGUUUUUUUAGUGUCAGAGGGAAACCUCAGUAAUUCUGCCAGGAGUCAACAGGAAACCCUUUCUGGCCUCAGUGACCAGAAGCUGCUGAGAAGUAUAAUCAUUAGAUUGAAGGAAGAGAGUGGCAGCCCAUCUGUCCUUGCUUAAAUAAUAGUAACUCACAGGUAUUUUUCUGGAACAUGGUCAUGUUCAGGAGCAACGUGAACUUCCAUUCAGUUCAGCAUUAAAUUGAAAAUGGGUCCUUGCAAGCUCUUCUUCUCUACCUGUGGAAAUAAAGUUCUGAACCGUACCUUCUGUACCUUCUGCCUAAAACCAGGAAGACAGUUUUGGACAAGUACUAUGCAUAUGCAUGGCCCAACACUUCUACCUUGCUCCCUAUCACUGCAGGAGGAUUGGGAUAAUUCUUCUGUUUGCACCAGAUCAGAGGCAAACAUGUGAGUGCUUAGAAGAAAAUACUCCUGAACACAAGCCGUUGUUGAAGUUUACCUCUGAUGACAUCUUUGGGAAACACACUGAAACACCCCAUAGGAACAAGGAAUGCAUAAAGCCUGCAAGCUCUUUAACAGGUGGAAAAGUCAUUCUGUGACAGCUAAGAGAUGAAAUCAAAGAAAGGAGACCUAGUUCAACAGACAUGAGCUUUCUGAAUGAAGGCAACCGAAAGAUCAAGAGAAUCAAGAAAAUAAUAUGAGUGAUCAGCAAGCUGGUGAGGCACACACCAAAAGUCAGCUUCAGGUGUGCUUCCAUCAGCUGCUUGCUCUGAGAAAACAUCACUUCAACUGCAUUUUUUGCACCUGCAAGCUGGUUAUCUGGACUAGCCUGAUACUUAACAUGUACUCUGAGAGUUUGCUCUCCUUUUUCUGAUGCUCUGUUGAUGCCUGGCCUUGGUGCUUGGGCUUAGGGCCCUGCAUGAUUUAAUUGCACAUUACAACAAAGAUUUUUGAUUUAUACUUUCUAACUGCAUUCUCUCUUACAUUUCAAAGUGCUUGAAACAUUAUGAUUCUCUAUAAAAGUCCUUGCCCAGAUAUGCUUUUUCAGAGACUCAUCUUCUCACACCAUGUUUUUCUAAGAGUUUUUUUAUUUUGGUGGUUACUGCCCUGACAGAUGGAAUUCUUGACUCUUCCAUUUGAGUCUGGUAAGUAGUCUAAAAAAAGUUAGCUGGCCUUGCUGUCACUUGAGAGGUUGGGACUUCAUUUCUUUCUUUAUUUACAAACAACCCAGAACAUUAUUGGUAUCUAUAGUGAAGAUGGAAAUAUUGCCAUUGGAUCUAAACUGAGGUUCAGGGGGGACCACUGUUUUAAAAGUAGUGAAUUUAGAAGACAAAUGUAAACUUUCUUAGUGUGAUGAAACAUAAUGCAUUUAUUUGAAGUAUGUUUCAAAAAAAUGAGACUUGAAUGAGCUUUGAACUUAGUAUAUGAGUUGACUUUUCAUCUCUGACUUUGACUUGAAUAGCUGUCAAAAUACUAUUAAUUAUGAUACUAUUUUAAUUUUUUUAGAAAUUCUUUGUACAGUGCCUUGACGAAGAUCAUAACAUAAAUUUGGGCAGUUGUAAAACUCUUCCUUCUCUUUCUAAGCAUUUACUCUUGGAACAAAUCCUGCUGAAGUCCCUGGGAGUAAAGGACAAUCUGGGAGAGUUGCUAAUCUUAUUCUUACAAGAGCUGUGUCUUGCCUGCUAUCCUGCUUGGUGUCUGUCAGGCUCACGAUGGAAAUAAAUUAUCCUUUGUCAAUGUCUUGUUGGUAGAUUUAAAUAAGUCUUAGAAGAUUAGUGAGACACAGUUUUCUCUGUAGAAACUGCUGAUUUGACUCUGUGGCAUCCUGAACAUCCAGUCAUUUUGUUAUUUUGUUUUUAAUGACUAUUUCAAAGGGAUGCCUUUAACAACCAGUAGAGACCUUUCUAAAUAAAGGUAUGACACUUGUUCUCUCCAGUCUUCUGAAAAAGUUGUUGUUUUCAUGUAGUCUGAUAUUUUAGUUUCCUCACAAUUUGCAUGUCUUGUGGGUCCAGUAAUUUUUUUAAAGUUUCAUAUGUUGGCAAAUCAAAA